UCUUCUCAAAGUCCGGGAUUUUUGUGAUUCAUCCUGUAGUUUGCAGAUUCCAACCCCGUAGACUGUGGUUAUUGUUGUUUUCAUCCGUUCCUGUGAGCUAGUUAAGACCAUAGUUAUUCCUAGUACGAGUGACAUAGUGAGUGUUAAGGAAUGAACUAGACAGUACGUUCCAGAUCUAAUAUAAUGAAAAAAUAUAAAUGUAUAUUUGAGAAUAUGAAUGUAAGCUGCGGUUUCAGUGAUUCAUAGGAACAUCUGCCGCUGACCUGACCCUCAGCUGCAGAGAGAGGUCAGCCCCAGGCCCUGGAGGCCCGCUGCAGGCGGCCACGCCCCUGGGCAAGGCAAAGGGAAAAAUGACCAGUGUCUCCAGGCCCUGGGGGCCCGCUGCAGGCGGCCACGCCCACGUGAAGGUCGGGCAGUGGCAGUUUCUUUAGCCACGCCUCUGUGGCUCCGCCCCUGCUUCCAGUGGUUGCUGCUACUUAUUCUCCAAGGAUGACCCUGUCAAAAGAGUGUGCCGUGGGUCGGUCGAGGUCACACCUGCCCGCUGGGCUGGGCUCUCCGGUGACCCUAGGUGACCAGCUCAUAACCCAAGACGGUCGUCCUUGUGUUUAUUCACUGUGUGCUGAACUGUUAUCAGUAAAAGAGAUUUAAGCCA